rnacentral:RNase_P_RNA from 1 species
UGAACUGUGAAAGAUGGACGCUGCUUUGGAGACAAAGGAGAGGAAAGUCCGGGCACCGUAGGGUAAUGGUGCCGGCUAACGGCCGGUCAGGGUGACCUGAAGGAAAGUGCCACAGAAAAAAUACCGCCUCUUCGGGGGUAAGGGUGAAAAGGUGCGGUAAGAGCGCACCGCGGGCUUGGAGACAAGCCUGGCACGGUAAACCCCACCUGGUGAAAGGUUACGGUGAAGCUCGUCGUCUUGUGCCCGCAAGCUGAGCUUCUAAUGAGACCGCUCGAGAGUCGUGGCAACGCGGCCCUUAGAUGAAUGGCCAUCGAGGCAAGUCGAGCAAUCGCUUGCUAGACAGAAUCCGGCUUAAAGAUCAGUUCAACGA